rnacentral:rRNA from 1 species
GACGAACGCUGGCGGCGUGCUUAACACAUGCAAGUCGAACGGAAAGGCCCUGCUUUUGUGAGGUGCUCGAGUUGCGAACGGGUGAGUAACACGUGAGUAACCUGCCCUUGACUUUGGGAUAACUUCAGGAAACUGGGGCUAAUACCGGAUAGGAGCUCCUGCUGCAUGGUGGGGGUUGGAAAGUUUCGGCGGUUGGGGAUGGACUCGCGGCUUAUCAGCUUGUUGGUGGGGUAGUGGCUUACCAAGGCUUUGACGGGUAGCCGGCCUGAGAGGGUGACCGGCCACAUUGGGACUGAGAUACGGCCCAGACUCCUACGGGAGGCAGCAGUGGGGAAUAUUGCAAAAUGGGCGGAAGCCUGAUGCAGCAACGCCGCGUGCGGGAUGACGGCCUUCGGGUUGUAAACCGCUUUCGCCUGUGACGAAGCGUGAGUGACGGUAAUGGGUAAAGAAGCACCGGCUAACUACGUG